GCCUUCGUGGUGUAACGGUUAGCACAUUUGGCGCAUAUUCGAGAGGUCCAGGUUCGAAUCCUGGCGAAGGUG
rnacentral:tRNA from 1 species